CAAGUGUGGAGCCAAACGACAACAAGAUUCUCAGAGGGCGGAGCCAGAGAGCAGUGACUGGUCAGACCAUAGAUAAUGUGGAAGACAGCGCGCUAGCGGAGCUAGUCUAUGUAUAUCGAUGGUCAGCACGUCUGGUAGCAUCUCUGGCUGCUGUUGACCUUGUUUUUGGAGUAAAACACGGUGGAAGCUGAAUUAGUGAGGAUGACUCCUGCUCCUGUCAUCUCUAAGCUCCUCCCACAUCUUUACCUGCACAUGAGGAAAAUCACUCCUGUAGAAUGCAGUGGUUCAUCAGAACCUCUGGGGAUGUCCUGUGGAUUCUGUGGAUCCUGUGGGUUGCAGGGUGGGUCCUACCUAGACCAGGCUGAUCCUGGACCAUCCCACAGAUGCUCCAUCAGAUGUGGAUGUGGGGAGUGUGGAACCCAGAUGUUCAGAGGGAGAUGAUGCCACAUCUGGUCCAGCUGAUGGAAGGUCUUGAAGUUCUCUGACUGGCCUCGACUGAAGAUGGUCGUCUCACUGGAUUUAAGGUUCAGAUGCUCAGUAACAAACUCCACCAAUGUGCCAACAGGGAAGCUUUAGGUUUAUUAAAUGUUGCUAUGAAGGUAUCGCUGUUUUUCUUUGUGAAUGCAAUGUGCUCCAACUGAAACUUGAAUUAGAACUUAGAAGUAAAUCCUUCCAUCUGUAAGGAUUUAGUUGCAUUAAUAACCUCAUAACAUUCUAAUUUUUAUUCCAGUGUUGGCUGGAAAUAGAAUCUCUGUAUUGAUUCAGGUAAAAACUGAACUUCACAGCAUGUUGAAGCAAAACAACCAGAUGAAAACUGUGAUGGUGUUGGAUUGUCAGACCGUAAUGUUGCAGCUCAAAGCAGCUUUUCUAUCUCAGUUCAUUGUGACAUUCAGCUAUGAAUCAACACAGCAGAUGGUGAUCCAUGCUGUGGAAGUCUCACGUCUCCUGAUUUAAUGGAGCUGCUUUGCACUUUUUACACUGUUUAUUCACCAACACUUUAUUUAAUAAAAGUCCAUCUAGUUUUCAUGAGGAAUGUGAUGUUUUGAUUUCUCUGUGAAUAACUGCAGUCUAAUGGAACAGCUGGAAUUGUAACAUCUGUCCUGAUAUUGAUCAUGAAGUAUUGAUCAGAAUGAUCAGAUGAGUUUGUUUUUACUGCCAGCUACCAUUCAGUCUGAGAUAUUAAGAAUAAUUUAAUGUGCAUAAUGUGGAAAUGAACAGAUUUUAUUUUUAUUUAUUCCUACAGCUGCUGCAGGUUCCAAAGUUCCAAAUUUAGUCUCACAAUCACAGACAACAAAUAUUAUCUGAAAGUCGGGUUAUUGUUGUUUAUCAGCACAAUACAAAAAGAUUAAUGUUAGAAAUAUUCCAGUUAAGACUCUAGAAUAUCAUGAUUUAUGUAAAUUUAACUCACUAAUAUGAAUGUUCAGGUUAACAUAGUGCAGUGAUUUUUAUUAUGCAAGUUUAGCUGAUUAAAGUUUGACUCUGCACUACAAUAUUAUUUAAAUUUACACCAUUAUUAUAAUAUUUAGGGUCAGACCCUACAGUAUUGAGAUUAAGAAAUCAAAUAUUCUAUAAAAUGUAAAUACACUGAACUCAUUUGGAUUUAUUUAAGUGAGACUCUACAAUAUUAUUUGACACAAAUCUAUCUAAAUCAAAAUUUUAAUAAUUUUCAUGCCAAACAUUUACUGGACUGAUUUAAAUAUUAAAAUCACUCCUUUCUAAUCCUCUGCUGUACGUUCAAACCUGAGGCUUAAAUAGAAACACACAAGUAUCUGAUUGAAGGAACUUCUGCAGAGUCCUGGUUCCAGAACAUGAUGAUAGAACUAUAGACAAACUUUAACAAAAGCUGCCUGAGAGUUUACAGGUUUUUAUGUUGGAUUUCUUCAGUAAUUUAAUGAGCGUUAUCAGCAAAAAUCAAGUGUUCAUUUGAUGAACUUCAUUUCCUAAAACAUCCAGAAUUGGAGCUCAUAUCUUUGGCAGCUGUAAAGUUUCUGCUCCUUCAAAGUUCACAACACAAUGAAUGAAUUCCUAAAACACUCUCAAUGCUGGAGAGCGUUUGAUGCUGAAGCAGUGAUCAGUUUUUCUGUUUCUUCUCUAGAGAUGCACAAUGAGGGACGUCUGCAGCGACUGAGAAAGAGUCUCACCACAUCCUGACAUGAGGAAAAAGACUUUUUUGAAGACUACAAUGAGAAAAACUAUCAGACAGCAGACGGCUGCAUUCAAGGCUACAGGAGGAGUCCUACGAGGACGAGCCGGUCCACCUGAUGGUGGCCAGUUGCUGCGGUUCAAAGCCAACACCGACUACGUGGACUUCUACUGGACCACACGGAGGCCUUCAAACCGGACCAACAAGUUCACCGACUCCCCGACUCGUGGGUCUGAGGACGCCGCCGAGCCUCGGUCCAGCCGGCCUCCUGUCUGUGGGUGUUUGAGUGCUGAGAGGUUUGUGGAUGCAUGUGAACGUGUCUGUGUUGAAACAGCAGCUUUUGACUCACUAACGCCGGGAAAACCCAAGAAUUCCUUUAUUUGUGACUUCCACUAAAAAAACUGAUGAAAAUAAGUUUGCCAGAGUUCUGACUGAUAACAGAUUAUUAAAUAAUGAUAAUAAUCGUUUAAAUAUUCCUUUAAACAAUCCUUUUAGGUCUACAUUUCCUUUACACUGACUUCUUGGUACAUGUACAAGUAUUUUGGGUGGAAUAUACCAAUAAGCCUAAUGUUCAAGGGUUUUUCUGGGAAUAUACCAUUAAACCAACCUUUUAGGUAAAUGUUCCAGGAUGUUGGGUAGAAUAUACCAUCAGAUAAACCUUUUAGGUCUACAUUGGAAAAUUUUAGAGUAGAAUAUUACUCCAAACUAUCCUUUAGGUCUACAUUUAAGGUGGAAUACUACUUUACACCAAGAUUUUUUUGGUCUACAUUGAAGGAUUUUAGGUGGAAUAUUCCUUUGAACAAACUUUUUAAGUUUAUGUUCAAGGAUGCUGGGUGGAAUAUACCAUCAGACCAACCUCCAAGGUCUACAGUAGUGAAUUUUAGGUGGAAUAAACCAUUAAACUCACCUUUUAGGUAUACAUUGGAGGAUUUAAGGUGGAAUUUUCUUCUAGACCAUCUUUUAGUCUGCAUUUAAGGAUGUUUAGGAUGGUAUAUUCUACUAAACCAACUUCUCAGGUCUACAUUUCAGGUGGAAUAUUCCUCCAUACUAACUUUUUUGGUCAACAUUGAAGGAUUUUUUCUAAACCACCCUUUCGGGUCUAUAUUUGAGGUUUUAGGUGGAAUAUUCCUUUUAACCAGCCCCUCAGGUCUCUUUGAGGAUUUUGGAUGGAAUACUCGGUUAAACCGACAUUUUAGGUGCAUGUCCAAGGAUUUUUGGUGGAAUGUUCCUUUAAGGUGGAUGUUUGAGGACCUUGUAGGUGGAAUACUUCCUGACACCAACCUUUUAGGUCAACAUUCAAAGAUUUAAGGUGGAAUAUUCCUUUAAACCAACCUAAAUUUCACCUCAAACCUCAAUCCAGACUCCUCAUAAUGACAUUUGAGAUUGAUGCUGCUGUUAUUUGUUUAGUCCAGACUAAAUGACAGAAAUCCACAACUGUAAUUUUAUUUCAGGACUCGGUUAUUAAAUGUCAAAACAAUCCAUGUGACUCUAAAAACUCAACAGCUUUACAAACUCUAAGAUUAAACUCUCCACAAGGAUCCAAAAUAAGUUGGACUUCUACAUGAGAGCUUUAAUUAUUCUUCAUCUACUUCUUGAAAAGUUUGGUCAGUAAAAAAAGAUAAAAACUAAUAUUUUCA
ensembl:lncRNA